GAUCCUGGCUCAGGAUGAGCGCUAGCUACAGGCUUAACACAUGCAAGUCGAGGGGCAGCAUGGUCUUAGCUUGCUAAGGCCGAUGGCGACCGGCGCACGGGUGAGUAACACGUAUCCAACCUUCCCGUUACUCUGGAAUAGCCUUUCGAAAGAAAGAUUAAUACCGGAUAGUAUCGAGAGAUUGCAUGAUUACCCGAUUAAAGAUUCAUCGGUAACGGAUGGGGAUGCGUUCCAUUAGG
rnacentral:rRNA from 1 species